CUCCUGUGACGAAUCUUGAGUUUGUGCCACGUGUCUGGGCCACUGAUCCAAGUGAUGGGAAUGAGGAACUGAGGAG
rnacentral:snoRNA from 1 species